GAUUUGUACCGCCCUGUAGCUUCUGUCUGUCAUCUCCUCAGUUUCAUGUAUGAGCCAAAGGUCGUCGUGCUGCAGCUCCAGUUCCUUAGUGCAUUCUCUGAGGUGCUGUAGAUAUGAACAGAGGGUCAGCUCUUCAAACUCCACUGAUAUGACAGAUAUGCUGUUGAAGGAACCAGUUUUCACGGCGUUCCCAAGUGUGUCUGCGCAUUCCAACGUCAAAAAGUCCUUAUAUGCUCCAGGGAAAAGCUGCCCCAGUCUAUCCAGUCAGAACUCAAGCCCUCCAGAACAGGAACUGACACCUAAUUAACUGCUCUGGAACUCUGAGGUAGUAUGGAUAUCCAGAGCACAAAGAUUGCAGUCUACUCUUUAGGAUAAAGGAGACUACUAUACAGUAGAGACAGUUCUUGAAACAGCAGAUCCUGGGCUGCUGACCAUGAAGACCACCAUGAAAUUUCCCUCUGCUUGGUUGGUCCAAGUCAGGUCAUUUGCGAUAUUGAUUACAAAUGAUUUUGAGGAUCAGCUGGAAGGACAGACACACUACCACCUGCAGAAGGCCAGCAGAACACAUCUCCAUCACGCAUGCGUGAACAUGCCGAUUUUUUUUUCCCCACAAAUCACUUUUGGCGAUUCUGUUCGGGGGGUGGGGGUGUUAAUUAUGACCGGAAUAUCGGUGAUAAAUGGCUAAUACUCUCAAUUUUGUUUCUAAAAGGGUUUAUCUAAUGAAUUUAAUAUUAAACACACUGCAUAUCUUCCUCGCUUGAAUAUAGUGAUAAUUCAAUUAUCAGGGGAGGACAGGGGAGCUUGAAGUAAGUGUUGAACGAACUUCCAGUAGAAGUGGUAGAGGCAGGUUCAAUAUUACUAUUUAAAGAAAAAUUGGAUAGGUAUAUGGACAGGAAAGUAAUGGAGGGUUGUGGGCUGAGUGCAGGUCGGUGGGACUAGGUGAGAGUAGCGUUCGGCAUGGACUAGCAGGGCAGAGAUGGCCUGUUUCCGUGCUCUAAUUGUUAUAUGGUUAUAUAAGUCACUUAUAAGUCAAUAGCAUCAUAACAUUUUAAGUAACAUUUGGAUAUUAAACGCACAGCACAUAUUUUCCCCGGAUGAACAUAUAAAAUCAUUGCAACACACCAAUAACGCUGAAUCAGUGGGAGCCUGGUGCUUGUUUCCCUGCAAUGAAACAGUCCUAUCGAGGGGUGAUGGGAGACAGCGAUACUCGAACGGGGUUCCUUGUGUCCAGUCUAUUCCGCAAUUUAGUUUUCGUUGCAUUCAUUGCAGAGAUAUGUUGGAAAUGGAAGCAACAUUUUCAGUGCUUUCGUGGCUAUGUCAGGAUAUUUAGCCUUGACUUUGAUCCAGAAUGCCGGCAGAGAUGUUAUGUCAAACAUACUUUUCAGCCCGUCAUCAUUUGCAAGCUCGAGGAGUUGAUCUCCUUCCCGCGCUGACAUGGAUGACGUGCGGGUAAUGACCUCACGUGCGGUCAAGCUCAACAGUGUGUGACAGGGAAUGAGGAAAGGUGCAGCUGACUCAUAUCGCUAAAUCAUAUUGUUUCCUUGCGGCCCGGUAGCACAUGCUUUGCGGCCCGGUGGUUGGGGAUUGCUGAUCUAUGGGGUUUCUUGUUUCGUGGAUGACUGUGGAGAGUAAGAAUUUCAGGUUGUAUACUGUAUACAUAAUCUGAUCUUAAAUUAAACCAUU